rnacentral:rRNA from 1 species
GGAGAGUGCAAACGUUGUUCGGAUUCACUGGGCGUAAAGAGCACGUAGGCGGCUCGGCAAAUCGGUCGUGGAAUCCCGACGCUUACCGUCGGAACGGCGGCCGAAAAUACCGGGCUCGAGGGCGUGAGGGGUCACUGGAACUCCUGGUGAAGCGGUGAAAUGCGUAGAUAUCAGGAGGAACGCCGGAGGCGAAAGCGAGUGACUGGCGCGUUCCUGACGCUGAGGUGCGAAAGCUAGGGGAGCAAACAGGAUUAGAUACCCUGGUAGUCCUAGCCGUAAACGAUGGACACUGAGUGGAGGAGGGCUUGCCUUUCUCUGCUGCAGCUAACGCGUUAAGUGUCCCGCCUGGGGAGUACGGCCGCAAGGUUA